rnacentral:rRNA from 1 species
GCAGUCGAGCGAGUGAACGAGCGGAAGCCUUCGGGUGGAAGCUUGUGGAUCUAGCGGCGAACGGGUGAGUAACACGUAGGCAACCUGCCUGUAAGACGGGGAUAACUCCGGGAAACCGGAGCUAAUACCGGAUAAACCUUUAGCUCGCAUGAGCUGAAGUUGAAAGGUGGCGCAAGCUACCACUUACAGAUGGGCCUGCGGCGCAUUAGCUAGUUGGUGAGGUAACGGCUCACCAAGGCGACGAUGCGUAGCCGACCUGAGAGGGUGAUCGGCCACACUGGGACUGAGACACGGCCCAGACUCCUACGGGAGGCAGCAGUAGGGAAUCUUCGGCAAUGGACGAAAGUCUGACCGAGCAACGCCGCGUGAGUGAAGAAGGUUUUCGGAUUGUAAAACUCUGUUGUUAGGGAAGAACAAGUGCCGUUUGAAUAAGGCGGCACCUUGACGGUACCUAACGAGAAAGCCCCGGCUAACUACGUGCCAGCAUCCGCGGUAAUACGUAGGGGGCAAGCGUUGUC